rnacentral:rRNA from 1 species
AUACGGAGGAUGCGAGCGUUAUCCGGAUUUAUUGGGUUUAAAGGGUGCGUAGGCGGAAAGUUAAGUCAGCGGUGAAACGCAGGUGCUCAACACCUGACCUGCCGUUGAGACUGGUUUUCUAGAAUGCGGAUGCUGUGGGAGGAAUGUGUGGUGUAGCGGUGAAAUGCAUAGAUAUCACACAGAACACCGAUUGCGAAGGCAUCUCACAAAUCCGCGAUUGACGCUGAGGCACGAAGGUGCGGGGAUCGAACAGGAUUAGAUACCCUGGUAGUCCGCACAGUAAACGAUGAUAACUCGCUGUCGGCGAUAGACAGUCGGUGGCCAAGCGAAAGCGAUAAGUUAUCCACCUGGGGAGUACGACCGCAAGGUUGAAACUCAAAUGAAUUGGCGG